CCGUUCACACGAUUACGUGUUAGUUGCGUGGGCCCUAGCCGCGCCCCCGGGUGUGUGGUCACUGGUCAGCCUUUAUAAAGCCGACAGAGGUGCGCAGAAGUCAGGUGUAACUUGUAAGCAGCGUCUGAGACACAUACACACAACGAUCGCCAACUAUUAAGUUAAAAAAGCAGAGUCAAAUAUGACCAAACCCAAGGACAUUGGGGAGUGUCCCCUCUGUGGGAAGAUCAUCCACACUGUCGUGAGGCACCUCAGGGAGGUCCAUUUGCUAAAGAACACGCAGGAGAGACUGAUCCUCAACCACCUGGCGACAGGCAGGACUUUGAUCCCCGCCGGACCCUGCCCCCUUCCCCUUCCCGGGUGUUCUUCACAUCUGUUAAACCUGGAGAAGCAUCUGCAGUCGCAGCACAGCAACCUGAGUGGCCAAAGUGUGGAUCGGGAGAUCAAGGCCCUCAAGCGAGUUGCAGCUCUUAGCAAGCUGGCGGCCUUGAGGGCCACUUCUCCCGAUCCACCUAUGGUCAGCGUGCUGGACCUGGAACAGCACCAGGCGGAGCAGACUGACCCGGAGGCGGGAGUGAUCAUGUGCCAGAAGCGCACAUGCGUCAAUGCCCGCCUCCGGGUCCGCGAGCUGGAGCGAGAGGUAGCAGACGUUCGUGCCAGUCUGACCCAGUUCCAGGCCCUGGCCUGGCCUCAGCGCCGACCUCGACGUGAGUGAAUGAAAAAAACAUAGCAAUUAUACCUUAAUUGCUAUGUUAAUUGCUAUGAAAACAGUCCUGUUUUCUCUUGCUGUUUGUUUUUUCCUCUCCGCAGAGGCAGCCCCAGCCCCAUCCCGAGCCCCAGCCCCAGCCCCAGCCCCGGAGGAGGAGGAGGAGGAGGAGGAGGAGG
ensembl:lncRNA